CCUACGAGUGGCAGCAGUGGGGAAUAUUGCACAAUGGGGGAAACCCUGAUGCAGCGACGCCGCGUGAGUGAAGAAGUAUCUCGGUAUGUACAGCUCUAUCAGCAGGGAAGAAAAUGACGGUACCUGACUAAGAAGCCCCGGUUAACUACGUGCCAGCAGCCGCGGUAAUACGUAGGGGGCACGCGUUAUCCGGAUGUACUGGGUGUAAAGGGAGCGUAGAAGGUGCAGCAAGUAUGUUGUGAAAGGUCGGGGCCCAACCCCGGGACUGCAUUGGAAACUGUUGAACUGGAGUACAGGAGAGGUAAGCGGAAUUCCUAGUGUAGCGGUGAAAUGCGUAGAUAUUAGGAGGAACACCAGUGGCGAAGGCGGCUUACUGGACUGUAACUGACGUUGAGGCUCGAAAGCGUGGGGAGCAAACAGGAUUAGAUACCCGGGUAGUC
rnacentral:rRNA from 1 species